CUUCUAUUAUUGAGAUUUAUCUACCAAAAAGUUUGUUCCUAUCUUUCUCCUCUCUUGGUAUAUCAAUAAGAUGAGAACUCUUCUGCUAUUCCAAGUCGUUGAUGGGUUCAGAUUUCAUAGAAGAAAGCCUGUUCUAUACUACUAGAAGAAGAAGAUCUGUCGGCGCGUGAUUUAUCUUAAUGCUAUCGCUGAGAUUGGCGUAUACAAGUGUGAGCUAGAGGAUUUGCCUGCGAGGAAUGUUUCCAUGGAACAAGUGAUGGCAUUGAGGAGUGCUCUUCGUGAUGAAUUUCAAGCAAAUACAAGACCAGUUCAGGGCUUACGUAGAAGACCAGUAUGUAGCUAUGUAAGAAAGACCAAAACUUGAUGAAUUAUUAAGCUUCAAAUUAAAUAAUGGCUUGUGAAUUUACCAUGAGAAUCACUAUGAUGCCACAACUUAUUUUGAGGGCUUUUUUGUUCUUAAGUUGCAGCAUCUCAUGGUUCAAUUUCUGUACGUAUACUGAGAAGAAGAUGGGAGAGUUAAGAGGGUAUUUACAUCAUUAGUGUUGGCAUGUGAUGUUGUGUCUACAUGAGGGGUUGUAUUAGGAAGUGAUUUUAUUGUUUUCUGUAUAAGAAAGUGAAUCUAGAUAGCAGUAGUUGUUAAUCCCUUUUCUUUUGUUGCGAUAUCUAUCAGAAUUGUUGAAUUCUUUGCUAAUUUGACUAAUUAAUUUCUCUAAGUUA